GCCUGGACGGAUGCCAAAUACCGCGUGAUGGAUGAACGACUUCUCGGUCGGGUAUACCUCGUGUUCUCAAAGAAAAGUACGUCAUGACGGUACCUGAGGAAUAAGCAUCGGCUAACUACGUGCAGCAGCCGCGGUAAUACGGGGGGAUGCAAGCGUAUCCGGGAACUAUUGGGCGUAAAGCGCCUGUAGGUUGUUUUAAUAAGUCUGUUGUUAAAGACUAGGGCUCAACCCUAGAAAAGCAAUGGAAACUACUAGACUAGAGUAUGGCAGGGGUAGAGGGAAUUUCUAGUGUAGCGGUGAAAUGCGUAGAUAUUAGAAAGAACACCGGUGGCGAAAGCGCUCUACUGGACCAUUACUGACACUCAGAGGCGAAAGCUAGGGUAGCAAAAGGGAUUAGAUACCCCUGUAGUCCUAGCCGUAAACGAUGGAUACUAGAUGUUGUGCGUAUUGUACAGUAUCGUAGCUAACGCGUUAAGUAUCCCGCCUGGGGAGUACGCUCGCAAGGGUGAAACUCAAAGGAAUUGACGGGGGCCCGCACAAGCGGUGGAGCAUGUGGUUUAAUUCGAUGCAACGCGAAGAACCUUACCAGGGCUUGACAUACUACGAAUCCUUUUGAAAAAAAGGAGUGCCUUCGGGAAUGUAGAUACAGGUGGUGCAUGGCUGUCGUCAGCUCGUGUCGUGAGAUGUUGGGUUAAGUCCCGCAACGAGCGCAACCCUUAUUUUUAGUUACCAAUUCGUUGGGUUCUCUAGAAAGACUGCCGGUGACAAACCGGAGGAAGGUGAGGAUGACGUCAAGUCAGCAUGCCCCUUAUGUCCUGGGCUACACACGUGCUACAAUGACUAAGACAAAGAGUCGCAAACUCGCAAGAGCUAGCUAAUCUCAUAAACUUAGCCUAAGUUCAGAUUGUAGGCUGCAACUCGCCUACAUGAAGUUGGAAUCGCUAGUAAUCGCUGGUCAGCCAUACAGCGGUGAAUUCGUUCCCGGGCCUUGUACACACCGCCCGUCACACCAUGGGAGCUGGUCAUACCCGAAACCGUUUGUUAACCAUAGGAAAACGACGUCUAACGUAG
rnacentral:rRNA from 1 species